UCCCCUCUCUUCUUCCCCGCCGUGCGCCCGUCCCCAUUUCCCUCUCCACCGCACCGUCCGCACUACCGCAAAGCGCAGAGAAGAAACCGCAUCGGCGAUCCACCAAUCCCCAUUUCGAUCUGCGGGCAUGGCCUCCUCCUCAACCACCACCACCACCGACGCCAGCUCCUGCCAGUGGGACGCCCUCCCGGCGCACCUCCAGGAGCGAAUCCUCUCCCUCAUCCCCGUCACCGAGCUGCUCCCCGUCGCCGCCGCCUCCCGCGCUCUCCGCCGCCUCCUCCGCUACCCGGCAUUCCACGCCCUCUUGUCCCCGCACCGCCUCGACGCCUUCUUCCUCCUCACCCCACGGCUUGCCGUCCACCCACUCUCCCGCCGCGUCCUCCGCACGCCCCCUCUCGCUGCGCUCUGCCCCCCUUCCUAUCCGCUCGUCUCCUCCGCGUCCCCCUCCCGCCUCAUCACCUACACCACGCUCCACUUCCUCCCGCCGAUCCCCGACGGCUCCUACCUCCUCUCCGUCGUCGUCAAGCCGCCCCCAUCCUCCUCCUGCAUCCUCGUCGCCGUCACCACCGGCGCGGCCGUGCGAUCCUACACCCUAGACACCGCUGAUCCCUCCCGGCUGUGGGCGUCUAGAGGCGAUGUCCCGGUUUCUAUUUCGCUCUUGGGAAACGCCGCAGUCUCCGGCGACCGAAGACAGCUCUUCGUCCUCGGCCGCGGCCCCGACGCACUCUUGGUGUUCGAUCUCGCGACGGGGACAUGGAAGGUGCUGCCGGUUGUGAUGCCACAAGGUCUCACUACGGCGCACCUGUUUGUGUACGAUGGCAAGCUGUUCGUGGUUGGCGGGGUGGAGAGAUUGGGGGAGGUGGAACGGGUGGUGGUAUGGCGGCUGGAGGACGAGAAGGAAGCGAUGGUAUGGAGGGAGGUGGGUGUGAUACCAGCAGAGGUGUUCGACGAGUUGGUGGCUGGUCGGCAUGGCAGUUUCUGGCAUUUUCAGGCCGCUGACAGAUUGGGGAUUCUUUGCUUGUACAAUGCUGUGGAUGGGAGGCUGGUCAUGUUUGAUGCAGCCGAUGGUUUGUGGACAGUGCUGCCACGAGUGUCCGGAUUGGAUGCAGAGGAGAGUGGCCGGUGGUUUGGACAUGUCCUGGAGCCAGAAGUUGAGCUGUUGCUGGGACAACGCCGCCCGGUGAUUAUAAGCACUAUGUGAAGAUGAUCUUUCCCAGGAGUCCAAGAUCCAAGAAACUACAUGGGAUGUCAUCCGCUGCCUCCAAUCCAUCCUCUACACCAGUGGACAAGCCACCACUUAAGAGGAAUUCCGAUGACAUAGGGUGGGAGUAUGGAAUUUUUGUUAAUCCAGCUGACUUGAAUGUGAUAAAAUGCAAUCUAUGUACUAUAGUUGUGAAGGCUGGGAUUUAUAGACUCAAGCUACAUAUUGCUGGCAUAAAAGGGCAAGUCCGGGCAUGCCCCAAUGCGACUCCAGAGGAUAGAGAGAAGUGCAAGAAAGCAAUUGAAGAUUCCAGGAAAGCUAAAAUGGCUAGGCUAUCAGAAAAACAAGAGGUAAGAGAUGCCGUUGCGGAUGAGAUGGACACAGAUGAUGGCACAGGCCUUGAUGACGUUGGCAGCUCUGAACCACGGGCAGUGGGUCCUAUGGACAAGUUCACAAUGCCUCCUAGUUCUUUAGGUUCCACACAAAGAAACCUUCACCAGCAAAAAAUUUCUGAACAUCGGUUGCACAAGUUGAAGAGACAUAUUGCAAGAUGGAUGUAUGUGCAAGGAAUACCUUUCAAUGCGAUAAAUUGUGAUGAGUUUGACCAAGUGUUGGAAGCUGUAGGCCGCUUUGGGCCAGGUGCAAAGAAGCCUUAUCAAUAUGAGCUGCGGGAGAAACUACUGCACGAGGAAGUGGACGAUACAAAGAAGAUGGUUGCAGAUCAUGCACAAGAAUGGAAAAGAACUGGGUGCUCUAUUAUGACUGAUGCCUGGACAGAUCAAAAGAGGAGGAGCAUCAUGAACUUGUGUGUUAAUUCUUGCAUUGGAACAUCUUUUGUUGAGUCAAGGGAAGUCUCAGCUGAGUCACACACAGGGGAAUUCAUUUUUGAGUUUGUGGACAGCUUUAUUGAGAAGCUUGGGGCUGGGGCGGAACACGUUGUGCAAGUGGUCACAGACAAUGCUUCAAAUAACAUGGCAGCCAAGGACCUGCUUUAUAUCAAGAGACCCCAUAUAUUUUGGAGUUCAUGUGCCAACCACACUAUAAACCUGAUGCUUGAAGGAAUUGGGAAGAUGAAAAAGUUCAAAGACCAUACUUGAUUCAGCAAAAGAUCUAACCAUAUUUAUUUAUGCUAACCACAAUACGUUGUCUUUGAUGAGGAAAUUCAUAAAGAAGAGAGACAUAAUUAGGCCAGGUGUGACUAGAUUUGCCUCAGCCUUUCUAA